rnacentral:rRNA from 1 species
CACAAGGGGUGAAGCCUGCGGUUCAAUUGGAGUCAACGCCGGGAAUCUUACCGGGGGCGACAGCAGAAUGAAGGUCAAGCUGAAGACUUUACUAGACAAGCUGAGAGGAGGUGCAUGGCCGUCGCCAGCUCGUGCCGUGAGGUGUCCUGUUAAGUCAGGU